rnacentral:lncRNA from 1 species
UUAAUGGAUAAGCGUAGUUCUAAUAUUGUUCUCCUUUCAUGUAUGAUCAUCAGUAUCUUCAUGCUCCGUCAGCCCAAGUGUUUGUCAUUGACCCUGCUUCUUCAGAGAUUUACCAUGACAUCUCAAAUAAGGCUGCAAUGACUUAGUGGUAAAGUAUUUCUGCCUGUGACUUUCAAACAUACAUUUUGAUGAGAGCAUUCACUCAAAAUAACCAAUAUUUGCAGAUUGUAUUUCAAAAUGCGCCAAAACAUACAAGGCAGGCAGCACUGGAGCAGCAUUAAGUGGACAGCAGGAACCAUAAAGCACAAUGAACAAAAGGACAACACAAGUUGUGGAGUGUUUGUGAUGCAGAUGGCAAGAAAGGUUGCUGAAAGUUUUCCACAAAUUCCUGCAUCAAUGACCAUAAAUCCAACAAGCAGCAGCAUAAGAAAGCUG